UAAGUUAAUCAGACAAUCGCUGCUAAUUAUAAAAACAUCAAUAAUUAGGAGAGGAAAGUCCGGGCUCCUUUGGAUCAAAGUACCAGAUAACGCCUGGGAAGUGUAAACUUACGACUAGUGCAACAGAAAAAAAACCGCUUAAUUUUUAAAACUUAUAUUUUAUAUAUAAAAAUAUUAAGUAAGGGUGAAAAGGUGUGGUAAGAGCAUACCGUAUUAUUGGUAACAAUAAUAGACAAUGUAAACUCUACUUGGAGCAAAGUUAAAUAAUAGUUUUUUUAAUGCAUGGAUCCGUGCUAAACUUGGGUAAACUGCUUGAACUAAUAAGUGAUUAUUAGUCUAGAUAAAUGAUUGUCUAAUACAGAACCCGGCUUAUAGAUUAACUUAUGAC
rnacentral:RNase_P_RNA from 1 species